GUUGUCGGAUUCACAUCAAUCCAUGUGUUGAGGUGGAUUGGAGUGGAACUUGAACUAAAUUUCAUCCCAAUCCACACCAACACACAUAGGAUUGAAGUGAAUACGACA
rfam:Sorghum bicolor cultivar BTx623 chromosome 3, whole genome shotgun sequence.